ensembl:lncRNA
CCCCGCGGCCUAAACGGCCCCUCCUCCCGGCGUCCGAUACCCCGCCGGGACGACCCCUCCGAAAGCUUCGCGGGCCCCGGCAUCGCUGAGCGCCGUCACUCGGAUAACCUCGCUUACUGCCGGGCUUCGUGCACUGUUCCGAAAUUCAUUCAUUUCAGAUAAGGGAAAGCGAGAGGCAAGGACAGUUUACGUAGCGUAUCUUUGGUUAUGGGAGCGCUGUCUUCACUUCCUCUCAAGUUCGGAGUUGAUGCGGGGGCAGGACAUCCCUUCAUACCAAUAAGACCGGGAGGAAAUAGCCAAUUAUUUUUAAAAUGGCCAGGGCACGCUCAAGUAAGGAAAUAAGCACUAAAUGCGACCCAUUCAUAAUGCCGUCCUAUCUAUCCCAUCCACUCAGCACGAGGCACCUGGGAGUUACCGUCCGGCUGAAGACUCUUCCUGGUGAACCGCACAGCUGCCACAAGUCUCUGGCUGUGGUGAAGCUGCUACGCUGCGGUUACCUCACCGGAUCAAACCCUACAAUUUGGAAAUUACAUCUCUGACUCAAAACCCCCGGCUAUAUACCCCAACUUCGAAAUCACAAGCAUUGCACUUCUUAUGCUACAUCACUCCUUAGCUCCAGAAACUGCUCGGUUGUACCAUCCCUACAACCAACUAAACCUCUUUUGCCAAAGCGUGUCUGUCUGGAUCCAGUAGAGCUGGUGGAGCUUUUCAUUUACAGCCUGAGCAGUUUAUGAUAAUCACUUUCUCGUACCAUGCUUGUGCUGAGUUCUCACAACUACUCCUAUAUCCAAUACCCGACAGAGAAGGCCUACGAAGUUUUGGGAAAGUCUCCCUGUUGAAGCAUGCACAGUCAUAAGGAAGUAAGAAAUUUAUGUGUAGCAAAGCAGAGUAGUUCUAGGAUUGGGGUAUAGAACUUAAAUGCAUAUAUUUAAUUGUAACUGUAACCAGGGACAUUGCCAUUGCCAUAGUUCCUUGUAGAGUGAGGUUAAGCUGGCAUAGAAAGAGUGUGGGAAGUUUGUUACUGUUUUAGGGUACAAGACUUACUGUUACAAGACCUCAAAGGACUAACUCCUUUCCAGAAGCGUUUCUUGUGCGCAAAAAGUAUGCAGUCAGCAAUAUGAUGCUGCCUGCACUGAAGAAGUGAGCAAUCAGGAUUCAUUGAUAGUUGUAUAAGCUCAGAUAUGCUGAAGGUGGCUGCAGUAUGAACUGCCAAGAAACAUAAGGCACUAAAAAGGGUGAUUUUUUGUUACAAAAAAACAGAAGUGCAAUUUCCGUCUGACUCGUUGAAAAUACGGUAGUAAACUUUUGUGUCUGUACCAACUGAAGAAAUACUCAUCUCCCUGGGAUUGUUUAAAAUAAUUGGAUGAAUAUUCCCAGCUAUCCUGAUUACAUUUUGAGAGCUCUGCGGAGGAAAAAGGUCACAUGUACCUGAGAGCUCCCUUGGAUGAAGGCCUCUGGUCUUCACAGCGUGCGCUGGUUGAAUGGUAGCCAUGCAGACCACAGGAAGGAGCUGGAUAGCAAUGAGCUGCAGAUUCAUGCCAGAAUUUGGGAAUUCACAUGCUGAAAAUGAAAAAGAGAAAUUAAAAGCCCAGAAUUUUUGAAGAGUCUUCCUGUUGGUAAUUGUUCAGCAGCAAUAUCCGUCACAAACAGUAAUUUCCCAGGAACCAGAGGCUCAAGUUUGCAUUUCAGGCCACAGGCUCUUCACAGAUUAAUACUAAUCUGCUGGAAACUCCCUGAAUUACAACUGUGGUUGCCUAAUUGUUUCUAUAGAUAAAUUUUGUUUGUUCUACAGGCUUAUAUUAAAGCUUUGUGUGUCAGGAUUAGACAAACUGGGUCGGUGUUGCUCCUAGGCUAGAGCUUCUAGUGCACUUCCAUCCAAAAGUUAAUUUGUGCAUCUGAGUCACAAACAUCUUCAAAAGGCAGCAUCAGAGGGAAGUGUUUUCACAUCCUUAUAAUCAAGUUUUUGAACAAGAGACUGAAGUUUAAAAGUGGCCUUAGGCUCUUGCACACAAAUCCAGGAGGAAUGUGCAGGCGUAUUACUUAUGGGUGCUACAGUUUAUACAGUAAGGCGUAUUACUUACGCUCCAGGCAGGGAGAAAGGG